rnacentral:lncRNA from 1 species
AAAAUCAGCUCCUUGCCUGAGCCCAGGGCCUGCUGUGGUGUACCCCUCAUUCUCAGCCCACCCGUCUAUGCCAGUCCAGCCUCUCAUCCUGCCUGCCAGCCUCGGGGAGACUUGCUUCUUGUGCAAUUCCAGCAGGGUCUGAGGAAUCUGCAGGAAACAGUUUGCAAAAGCCAUUGCUUUGGGCCACACCUGUGAGGAGCAGUAGAGCCCGCUGGGUCUCCUGACCAACCAGCACGAUCUGCUUGAAGGUCAUUGAGUGGUGGAAUGUCAUCUUGAAGACCCGCUGCCCACUAGACUGCAGAUAGACCUCAACACAGUCACAGGCCCGGCUGCUGGUGGUACCCACCACUUCCUGCGGCUCCCGAGUGGCCAAGACGUAGAGGGCCGGACUCCAGAACCCUGAUCUUGGAGGCGCGGACUGAGUCUGCGACAGAUGCGUCUCCACACGCCUUCCCCAUCGCACACUUCGUGGAAGUAGCGGCAGGACUCACCAGCUCUGGGGGGAACAACUGGAUGGAAAUCGGAUUUCCUUUCCCCCUCUUCUCUUCAACCCCAAGCUCCGAGCCACAAGAAGGGCAGCUUCUCUUCACCUACCCAAGAAGGGGUGCAUAGGGUCCCAUGAGGGUCCCACAUCCUUUUUUCCCUUCUCUCCGCCUACCUUGGGGCUCAUCUGACUCUAGCUGGGCACAGUUAUUUCCUCCCCUCUCUCUCCAGACCCAUCCCUAACUUCUCCAAAUAACUCCUCCCGAUCUCCUGCGGCCAAUCCCCCUCACCCGGAGCCCCUCCUCCCGUCCACACAGCCUGGUGAAUUUUUGCAGCUUCCGUCUCUGGCUUCCCCUGACCAUCCUGAUUGCCCCCUCCCUGCUCCUGCCCUCCUGUCUCCUAGGCCCUUGGCCCCCCCGUUCCUGCUGGCUUUCCCACACCAUGUCCCCAGCCUAGGCUUGGGGGACCUCUGAGGCCCCUCUGCCUCCUAGGCCCCUCCCCCAUGGAGUCUGGGGCUAACAAACCUCUCUGUGACCUCACUGUUUGGCCACUGUGACCUGUUCCCUUUAAUCUUGCCCAGGACCCAUCUCUUAGACAGCUCCUGGGUUCUAGCUCAGUUCUAGCCAUCACAUGGCUCAAGGGAUAUGCAUUUUACUGGAGAAAUAAAGUGUGAAUUACUGGUA